rnacentral:rRNA from 1 species
UACCAGCUCUCCGAGUGGUGUGGAUGUUUAUUGGGCCUAAAGCAUCCGUAGCUGGCUGGACAAGUCCCCUGUUAAAUCCACCGAUUUAAUCGUUGGUGUGCGGGGGAUACUGUUCGGCUAGGGGACGGGAGAGGCAGACUGUAUUUUCGGGGUAGGGGUGAAAUCCUAUAAUCCCGGGAAGACCACCAGUGGCGAAGGCUGUCUGCUAGAACGCGCCCGACGGUGAGGGAUGAAAGCUGGGGGAGCGAACCGGAUUAGAUACCCGGGUAGUCCCAGCUGUAAACGAUGCAGGCUAGGUGUUUGGACGGCCACGUGCCGUUCUAGUGCCGCAGGGAAGCCGUUAAGCCUGCCGCCUGGGGAGUACGGCCGCAAGGCUGAAACUUAAGGAAUUGGCGGGGAGCACCACAAGGGGUGAAGCUUGCGGUUU